AGGACGAACGCUGGCGGCGUGCUUAACACAUGCAAGUCGAACGGUAAGGCCUUCGGGUACACGAGUGGCGAACGGGUGAGUAACACGUGGGUGAUCUGCCCUGCACUUCGGGAUAAGCCUGGGAAACUGGGUCUAAUACCGGAUAUGAUCAUGUCCUUCAUGGGGUGUGGUGGAAAGCUUUUGCGGUGUGGGAUGGGCCCGCGGCCUAUCAGCUUGUUGGUGGGGUAAUGGCCUACCAAGGCGACGACGGGUA
rnacentral:rRNA from 1 species